rnacentral:rRNA from 1 species
AUAAUCACUUGUUCUUUAAAUGAGGACUUGUAUCAAUGGCAUCACGAGGGUUAUACUGUCUCCUUUUUCCAAUCAGUGAAACUGAUCUUUCCGUGAAGAAGCGGAAAUUUUUCUAUAAGACGAGAAGACCCCAUGGAGCUUAAAACCCAAGUGCACUCCUAUUAACUACUUCCACUUAAAUUAUGGAUUUUUGUAUACUUGGUUUUAGGUUGGGGUGACCGC